rnacentral:rRNA from 1 species
UACGAAGGGGGCUAUCGUUGCUCGGAAUGACUGGGCGUAAAGGGCGCGUAGGCGGAUGGCUUUGUCGGGCGUGAAAUUCCAGGGCUUAACCUUGGGGCUGCGUUCGAGACGGGUUGUCUUGAGUGGGGAAGAGGGUCGUGGAAUUCCCAGUGUAGAGGUGAAAUUCGUAGAUAUUGGGAAGAACACCGGUGGCGAAGGCGGCGACCUGGUCCUUUACUGACGCUGAGGCGCGAAAGCGUGGGGAGCGAACAGG